rnacentral:rRNA from 1 species
AGUGAACGCUGGCGGUAGGCCUAACACAUGCAAGUCGAACGGCAGCACAGUAAGAGCUUGCUCUUACGGGUGGCGAGUGGCGGACGGGUGAGGAAUACAUCGGAAUCUACUUUUUCGUGGGGGAUAACGUAGGGAAACUUACGCUAAUACCGCAUACGACCUACGGGUGAAAGCAGGGGAUCUUCGGACCUUGCGCGAUUGAAUGAGCCGAUGUCGGAUUAGCUAGUUGGCGGGGUAAAGGCCCACCAAGGCGACGAUCCGUAGCUGGUCUGAGAGGAUGAUCAGCCGCACUGGAACUGAGACACGGUCCAGACUCCUACGGGAGGCCGCAGUGGGGAAUAUUGGACAAUGGGCGCAAGCCUGAUCCAGCCAUACCGCGUGGGUGAAGAAGGCCUUCGGGUUGUAAAGCCCUUUUGUUGGGAAAGAAAAGCAGCAGGUUAAUACCCCGCUGUUCUGACGGUACCCAAAGAAUAAGCACCGGCUAACUUCGUG